rnacentral:rRNA from 1 species
UACGGAGGGUGCGAGCGUUAAUCGGAUUUACUGGGCGUAAAGCGUGCGCAGGCGGCCCGUUAAGACAGGUGUGAAAUCCCUGGGCUCAACCUAGGAACUGCGCUUGUGACUGGCGGGCUCGAGUUCGGUAGAGGGGGGUGGAAUUCCUGGUGUAGCAGUGAAAUGCGUAGAGAUCAGGAGGAACACCGAUGGCGAAGGCAGCCCCCUGGGCCUGUACUGACGCUCAUGCACGAAAGCGUGGGGAGCAAACAGG